UACGUAGGGUGCAAGCGUUAAUCGGAAUUACUGGGCGUAAAGCGUGCGCAGGCGGUUAUGUAAGACAGUUGUGAAAUCCCCGGGCUCAACCUGGGAACUGCAUCUGUGACUGCAUAGCUAGAGUACGGUAGAGGGGGAUGGAAUUCCGCGUGUAGCAGUGAAAUGCGUAGAUAUGCGGAGGAACACCAAUGGCGAAGGCAAUCCCCUGGACCUGUACUGACGCUCAUGCACGAAAGCGUGGGGAGCAAACAGG
rnacentral:rRNA from 1 species